GACACUGGAAAGACACGUUGGCUGCGUGGUGACCACAGAGGACAGGGUGAGGACGGUGGCAAUGGCAGCCACACAGCAGAGCACCUGGGCUGGAGAAGGACCCGAGACGUGCAGAUGGGAGUUGUGGCAGUAGUGGCCAUCUUGAGGGACAGACACCGGGAGAAAACGAGUGAUGCGUGCAAGGAGGGGCAUCGCUGAGCCCACACAAGACUCAAGAUGGAUGAGACAGAGGCGGCCUCAGGUGCCUGCAGGUGGAGAGAGAAGCACUGGGAAGCCUGAAGGAGCAUGAGAAAGACUGUUGCUGUAAGACACGGCGCUAUCUAUGGCCUGAAUAUUUGUUAUCUGUUGAAAUCCUAACCCCGAAGGUGAUGGUAUGAGGAGGUGAGGACUUUGGGAUGGGAUGACUGCUCUCAUAAAGGAGGCUAGAGAAAGGCUCCUGGCCCUUUCCAGCAGGCGAGGACACAGAUGCCAUCUUGAACCAGGAAGUGGCCACACCAGACACGGAAUCUGCCAGCACCUGGUUCCUGCACUUCCCAACCUCCAGAUCUGUGAGAAAUAAAUUUCUGUUGUUUACAGCCA
ensembl:lncRNA novel transcript